GACGAACGCUGGCGGCAUGCCUAAUACAUGCAAGUCGAACGAGCUGAGAGAGUGCUUGCACUCUCGACGCGAGUGGCGGACGGGUGAGUAACACGUGGGAAACCUACCUGUAAGUAUGGGAUAACAUUCGGAAACGGAUGCUAAUACCGCAUAUUUCUAAUCGUCUCCUGACGAAUGGAAGAAAGGUGGCUUCGGCUACCGCUUAUGGAUGGACCCGCGGCGUAUUAGCUAGUUGGUGAGGUAAUGGCUCACCAAGGCGAUGAUACGUAGCCGACCUGAGAGGGUGAUCGGCCACACUGGGACUGAGACACGGCCCAG
rnacentral:rRNA from 1 species